UGCACAAUUUAUAUAUACGAACUUUGGGGAUUUAUCGAUUUACAUGUUGUAUUCUUAAUCACAACAGAGUAUAGAGAUUGUAAUAUGCGCCGCCGUCGCUACCGCGCAGAUUAAAAAUUAAUUAAUUAAUGAAAUCUUUGAUAUUUUGUUAUUAAAAUUGUUUAGUGACAUUUUGAAAAGUUACCUCUCGUUGAAGUGUAGCUUCUGUUCAACGAGUUAGGGAGAAGGAGGCAGAUAUAAUGAAACGAGAUUUAUUUGUCGUAUCUUCCUUCCUGUAUAUUACAAUGUAUACCGCAAGAUACAUAGCUUAUGUCAAUUGUUAUCGGAACAACCACGAGGAUAGUCGGGGAACUUUUCUAGGUAUUUCUUCGUCAUCCCCUGGGAUACUGAUUGUCCUGGAGACAUUUGAAACUGAGGAAAACCAAGGACCACGUGUUUGUGCAUAAAACUUUAGUGUCUAAGAGUCGUGGUUUCUUCGAAGGCACCCCAUCUGAAAAUCUUCUGGCGCCCUAAAUUAAGAAUAUGGAGGGAUUCAACGUAAUAUAAGUGACGAUGGCAAAGAUAUAUCUGUUAAACUGGAGGUUUUUAAAAAGGAAUUCUAGAAGCGAUGCCAUAAAGCUGUUUUGGUGAAUUAUUGAAGUCAUGGACGAUGGAACAAAGGAGGUUCCCAGAAUGUUUCAAUUUCCUCAUGACAUAUGAAUGAUCAAAGAGAAUCUGAUAUGAAAGAAGUGAAAUCAAAGGUCAGUAAAAUAGUUACUUUUAGUUCGUUUGGUUUAAAAUACAUUUAAGGUAUACAUAGUCUGUCUCAAAAAUUAGGACUUAGGAUGUCAGAUACGCGAAAGGGGUAAACAAAUCGUAAUUUUUAUUUAGUAUUAUUCGGAAUGAACUUCUUCAUCACUGUAAUUUGAAUCUCUUUUGUAGCCAGAAGUCUGCUGGUUGUAAAUCUAGCGGGUAUGGCGGAUGUUAUAAAAGAAAAAGGCCCUUUUUGGACAAAACUUCAUCACUAUUCUAGGCUUGUGAGCCGACGCUAUGUAUUUUGACAAGCUGUGUCGAAAUAAAAGGGUUCAGUAUCGAGUUUCUACAGCCAUUGUCACAAGAUUAUGCAUGAAGUCCAUUCUAUUCAUUGCUUAAUUAAAGAAAUACCAAGUACAGCCAGUGUCAACUUCAUUCACAUAAGAUUGAUGUAGUGGUGGUAUAAUUGUGCUGCGGUGGUAGCGGUAAUUUCUAAAUGAAGUGUUCGCAAUAGACGGUAUGGUAUUAUAUAGGCAUGUACCAAUGUACCAAGGUAGUAGUAACAAAUCUCGUUGUUGAUGUUGAAUAUAAUUAAUGUUUAUUUCUGCAUCCUAUUUUAAAACAGCCACACACUGAAUAACAACAAAAUUUUAGAUUAUAAUGUAAUGAAAUAACAUUAACAUGUACGGUUACAGUGCCUAACGUGCUUGUGCGAAAUAUAACAGUUGCAUUGGACGUUGGAAGACCUUAAUAGCCUAAAAGUUAAAAGCUAGCUAGAUUCUGCACUACCAAUACCACAACGAUCUGUACGAAGUUGGUCUUGAAUACUUCAGUGAAAAAUCACGAGUCUAACUUUCUGCACUACACACACGAAUACACUUCUGCUGCAUCAACAUAUAUUUGAAUGAGCUUUUA